AACGAACGCUGGCGGCAGGCCUAACACAUGCAAGUCGAGCGAGGACUUCGGUUCUAGCGGCGGACGGGUGAGUAACGCGUGGGAAUGUGCCCUUCUCUACGGAAUAGCCCUGGAAACUGGGAGUAAUACCGUAUACGCCCUAUUGGGGAAAGAUUUAUCGGAGAAGGAUCAGCCCGCGUUGGAUUAGGUAGUUGGUGGGGUAAUGGCCUACCAAGCCGACGAUCCAUAGCUGGUUUGAGAGGAUGAUCAGCCACACUGGGACUGAGACACGGCCCAGACUCCUACGGGAGGCAGCAGUGGGGAAUCUUAGACAAUGGGGGCAACCCUGAUCUAGCCAUGCCGCGUGAGUGAUGAAGGCCUUAGGGUUGUAAAGCUCUUUCAGCUGGGAAGAUAAUGACGGUACCAGCAGAAGAAGCCCCGGCUAACUCCGUG
rnacentral:rRNA from 1 species